UAUGGCAAUCCGCAUCACUAACGUGCAAAACAAGCUGAGCGUGAAAAAACAACAUGCAGGCACGGCUGCACGAGAGGCGCGACAUCUUUGGCUUUCUCUCUACCUCUGUGCAGCCCCCUCAGCAGCAGACGACCAGCGGAACUCGCACACACGCACCCUACCCAUACCUUUCCUUCCGUUGUCUUCGAGGAGAGCGAGAAACAGCGGCGGCGGUAGAGAGAGCGCCGUGAGGGGCUCUGACGUUGACGAAGGACACGGGGAUAGCAAGACCACCUGCUCGUUUCUGCCAGCGCGUGAUGAGCCACAGGGGAGACUCUUUGCCACCGUCAUGGGUGGAGGCUGCCCCGUCGAAUUCGUUGCGGAUGCCCACAUGUGCUCGGAAGAGAGGAGGAGGAGGAGGCGGAGGUAACCGACCUCCUCUCACCCAGCAGCGACUCAGUCUUCAUGGAUGUCAGACUCAACUCGUUCUCACACGCAACGCGUUUCGUUCACCCAGAUCCUCCCUCCUCGAAGUUUUGCGCUUGCCGAGCGGGCGAGCAUCUGUUGAGGCGACACAAAAGACAUAAUCCUUUUCCUUUGGUUUCUCGUGUUUUGUGUUUCCAAAG
rnacentral:misc_RNA from 1 species